rnacentral:pre_miRNA from 1 species
CAAUUACCCCCUCCGUCCGAAAAUACUUGUCGAAGAAAUGAAUAAAAAUGGAUGUAUCUAAAACUAAAAUACGUCUAGAUACAUCCAUUUCUCCGAUAAGUAUUUUCGGACGGAGGGAGUACUUG